GGCAGCUUUUCCUAAAAUAGUCAUAAUGGAGGCCCACAAAGCAGUGAGCACAAUGUAAGAAGCUCAGCGUCUCUGCUCAUUCUCACCGUGCUGUUUAAACACAGAAAGUGGGGGCGAGGCGAGGGGGGAGAGGUUCAAAGAAUGGAAGGAGAACAGGAGGAGAGGGGAGAGAAUGGCAGAAUGGGUGUGAAGGGAAAGACAGGAAGAAUGGAAAGGGCACACCAUUAAAAGUUUACAGAAUAAUGACAUUAUACAUGAUGUGUGUCACGAGAGAAGCAGGACUCAUGACACAAAGCCCACAGAUUAAUAGGAUUAUAUGCUGUACAACAGGACGUCCCAUACAAAUCCCACUGAUAAGCAGACUGUACAUUGUGUGCCACCUGGGGGGACACUGUGGGGACAUUAUAAUCCUCCAAAAUAUCUGAAGCCACCGAACCAGGGAAUGUCAUUUGUAGGUGUUCCUAAAGCUGGCUUCUGAACGGUUUAGAAACUGACAGGUAUUUUGGGAUGGUUAGCGGCAUUGUAAGGUAUUAGGAGCACUUAUUAAAGGUGGCUUCAGUGAUGUGUGACAUUAAGGGCUAGGUGGUCAUGUCGACAUGUUUGAUUUAAAAGAUAUUUUGGCAGAUAUAUUGAGUGCUUGCACAGUCACAUAUAAGAGCUAAGGUAUGAAUUUAGGGAUGGGUUGUCACAUGGGCAGCAGGUAUUUAGGAAUGGUUGGCCCCACUGGAAGAUAUUUAUGGAUGGAUGGAACGAACUAUGACCUCAGUUUACUAUACCGCAGGUGAUCUGAUUGGUUGCUCAGAGUAUGGGUUAAAUGUGGUGUGUUAUAGUAUAGAUUAUAAAGAAUAAUAUUAAUUAUAUCCUGAGCUUAGAGGUGCCGUGGAAAAAACCCUAAACAUUAGCAGCUGUGUAAUGCAGGUGUAGUACAGAUCUUUUACCAAGUUCUGUAGGAUUACCCCCAAAUAUUUAUUAAUUCCAAUUCUAAUUCUGGUAUUUUUAGUAGAAUCACCAUAUUGCCAAU